rnacentral:ncRNA from 1 species
CAACCUCAACUCAUAUGGGACUACCCCCUGAAUUUAGCAUAUUAAUUAGGGGAGGAAAGAAACUAACAAGGAUUUCUUAGUAGCGGCGAGCGAAAAGAAUCAGUCAG